UCAAGGGUCAACUGUAUGUUUCUCCACCUGCCUCCUGGACCCAGGGAUUAAUGGGCACAUGAAGACACAAUGGCAUCAGUGGUGCCAAGGCCUAGUUUCUCAAAACGCUGAGUUAAGGAGCUUGGGAGGAGGGUGGGCAUGGAAUAGAUGUUGGGGGAAGGGAUUGUGGCUCAGAAGUGGACUGCUUUUGUUCUUCUGUCAUCAUCUUAGCAGGGCAAUGUGACCUUUGAUGAUGUGGCCAUGUACUUCUCUUUGGAGGAACGGAAUCUCCUUGAUGAGCCUCACAGAUGCCUGUACCAAGAUGUGAUACUGGAGAAUUUGGCACUUGUAACCUCCCUGGGUCAGACCCUCAAACCUACCCCUGUGCCCAGAGAUAGCCUCUGCCCUUUCUCUUUCCCCAGGACCAGCUAUGUCAUUCUCAAAUCAGGACUGUGGGCACUGCUUCCUCAGUUUCCUGAGUAGGUGCUGUGGUUGGUAGGACUGCCCUCUCCUCUCUUUGAGCAGGCCCAACACCUGCUUUCCUGCAGAUUCCCAGGGAAGGAUGCAGGGUCCAGAGUCUUGUACUCAUCCUGCGUCCUACCUUACUUGCCUUCUCCCGGGCCAGGUGACUUUGUCCAGAUCCAAGGAACGUGUGUGACCCAGGUCUAACUUACUUUCUCUAGUUGACAUUUCCUCAUGCCUGCCUGUGCCAGCAAUUACCAUCAGUGACAUAGUCACUACUUAUGUGGAUCAUGUUCUGUUCUUGUAAGAGCCUCCCCCAAAGUUCUCUUUGUAAUAGUUUUCUUUCCUGUGGGCUAUCAGUAUUCUGGGCCAAUCCUGAAUGCCUUCUGUCCUAUCUUUCCCUUAACACUUCCAUCACCCAGGUCCCAUGUAGUUGCUCAUCUUGGGGGUGGGGUGGAGAGCCCUGGGUGGUUCACAGAAUGGAAAUAAAUUGUCGUAGUCAGUUCGUGCUGCUAUAACAAACUAACAUGGUUAGGUGUUUAAACAAACAUUUAUUUCUCACUCUUCUGCAGUCUGGGAAGUUGAAGAUCAAGGCACUGGCCUUGUGGAAAGAGCCUUCUCUUUUUCUACGAAAAGAAUAGGUUGUUGGUGUGGAGUGGAGAAUAAGGAGGCAUCUUCUGAGCACAGCAUUUCUGCAAAGUAAUGCCACAGGAUAGGACUCUUAAAGCAGGUCUGUCUCCCCAGAAGGCCCACCUCUGUGAGAUGUGUGGACCCAUGUUGAGAGAGAGUUUGCACUUGGUUGAACACAGAAUCCAUGAAAAAUGAGGAUUGACUGAUUGUCUUGCCAUAAAUUGUGCAUAAUUAAAGAUAUACUCAGGCUGAAACUUGUGCUUUUUUACCAUUUUAUAGACUAACCAAGAUUUUGUGAGGACUUUGGUGGAGUCUGGGAUGUUUCAUUCAGCCAGGAUAUUCUGGAUGCUGUCUGCCAAGUUGUGUUGUAAGUUCUAAAAUUAAGGCCAAUAGGUAUGCUGCCUUGACAUCUGGUGAAACAAGUAUGCCCUCAAAUGGCCAUGGUGCAAGUUUCCCUUCACAUGCUUCUCACAGGUAAUGUCUCCUAACCUUACAACCCUUUUUAUCAAAGGGAGCAGGCACAGUUCCUGCUUAUCCCUUUGUAGUUAGUUUCAGUUCCCUACCAGCCUGCAGAGUCAUUUAAACAAGCCAGUCGUGCCCUCUUGCGGGAAGCAGGGCACCGUACCCUCUCGAUCCCACAGAGACUGCAUCCCACAGCCCUUUGUUGUUCACUC